rnacentral:misc_RNA from 1 species
GAUGAAGAACGUAGCGAAAUGCGAUAAGUAAUGUGAAUUGCAGAAUUCAGUGAAUCAUCGAAUCUUUGAACGCACAUUGCGCCCUCUGGUAUUCCAUAGGGCACACCCGUUCGAGCGUCAUUACAACACUCAGGCUCUGCCUGGUCUUGGGCGCCGCCCCGCCGCGGGCGCGCCUCAAACUCCUCGGCGUCGCCGUCCGUCUCGAGCGCAGCGAGAAUCCUUCCAGCGUCAUCGAGGCGGGCCGUGGCCGCCGGAAGCCAACACCACAUCAAAGGUUGACCUCGGAUCGGGUGGGGAUACCCGCUGAACUUAAGCAUAUCAAUAAGCGGAGGA